rnacentral:ribozyme from 1 species
UUUACUUUUUUUCUUUUUUUUCUUUUUUUUCUUUUUC